AUACCCGUAAAUCGUUCUUAGGCCGGUGUGACUCAUGCGCCUGGCAAGCAAUUAAUCUUAUCAUUGAUAAGGCCAAGGGCAGCACACACUUACCGCCAGAUAUUUUAUUUAUAUAAAAAACCAGCACACACGCUUGCCGUUCGUUAAUGUACACAAGUGUGGAACAGGUUAAAUAGAUCUGACAUGGAACCUCCACAUUUGCAUGCAUGUCAGUAUAUAAAGUGUGGGAAAUAUCCCAGUAAAUUGCAAAUAAACAUCAAGGUGGAAUGGGGCGAAAAACGAACCCCACUCAGCAGCAAAGAUAACAAAAGUUGCAUUCAUAAAAAUUUACCAAGAAUGCGAGAAGGGUCAAAAUUGCAACCUUUUGAGAACCGCUGAAAACAAAGCGAUUUCUUGGAAGGCACUUCAGUAUUUCUUUAUCCAGUUUUUUUGAGCAAAAGUCAUAUAGAUAAUUAUAAGCCUUAUCACCUGUUUGAUCAAUGUCCUAACAAGACCAAGGUAUUUGUUUGCUGGUUUAUUUUUCCUUUUUUUGCAAUAAAUGGGAAAGGGUAUUUUCGUAAAGAUUUUACAUUUUUAAAAAACUCCAACAAUAAGAGCAAAUUGUUUGGACAUUUCGGUAUAUUGUUUUGAUAAUAAUAUUUUGACAUACAGAGGAGCUUUCCAAAAGAAAAGUGACACAUAAUUAUGUACAGACUCUACAAAUCCAUUUAUCAUGCGUUAGCUUACAGGCUACCACAUAAUAUUCUUAUAUGUUUUGAGACAGGCAACCCGUUGUCUUCCGUUGACUUUCAUGUAGGGGACCCAGAACGCAGAACUCAGAGCACAGAACUCAGAACCAUGACGGCAGAACGCAUCGAAACUAAUUGUUGGCCAUGACUGAUGUGUUGAUCUGUUCUGGCGGCUUUCUUGUCCACCGGAGGCAGUCGGCGGCAGCAGUCUGCGGUUGAUUAAAUAGACGGCACAACAGCACAACCACACAACGGCUAAAAGCAGCCGGUUGCAGCGUAUAAAGAGGGUAUAUAAAUACAUAUAUGUAUGUAUAGAAGCCAAACCACAAUUUAGCGCGCCGUCUGAACACUUUUUCCAUCUCUCUGUUGUUUUUUCAGGCCUUUUGGAAUUUUUUGUUUUUUCCACAAUUUGUUCUAAAGUUGUUGCCUUUUUGGGUUACUUCCAAAAUAGAAAUUAUUGAUAAGCCCGGUGCUCAAGUGUAUGAUUGCCGUUAACUUGUUUUAUAAUAGUGACGUAUGCCGCAUAACGGUACCAGCCUUUAUCUUAUGUUUUAACGGUUAUAUGAGGUCUAAUGCUUAGUUAGAACCACAAGUAAUACAAUACAAGAGAAUUACUCAAGAUAUAGCUUAUUGAUUGUUUGUUUACUCUAAUCUUAAGCCCAUAAUCUUGUAAGAAGUGCAUUAGUUUCAUUCAUGAUUGAACUGAAAAUAUUUUGAUAAAGGUUACAGUCGCGGGAACAUAUUUCAUUGUCUGUUUAUUGGAUAUCUUGUUCAAAGGGCAAUGAACUUUGGCAUAAAUAAAAAUGCAUAAAAAGACCCUCCAAGCUGACCAUUAUAAAUACAUGAUUUCAAGGGAGUGCCGUGCUCAUUAUCAGCUCUCCCCACUGUUUGUUUUGAUAUUAAACCCAAUACCUUUACUCAAUAUAUGUAUGUUAAUCGAUUGCUUUGCAAAGUCAAUCUGACAAACUACCUACACAAAUUCAAGAAUGAAUAUUUAUUUGUGCGGUGACGGCACCGAAAUUUUUCACAGCCAGCGGUCCAGUGGGAAUGACACACGACCUGAUAGUACAGAUACAGAUACAGAUACAAUGAUGAGCGCUAUAGCAGAUACAGAUACAGGGGCUUUCGUCACCAACGUGGACUUCCGUCACCAGCAAGCGAGUUUACUAAUUAUAUGUCAAAACACAUAUUGAUUACUGAUUUCGGAGCAGAAGAUACAAAGUUUUUAAGUACUAUGAACUUUAAAGCUGCAUAGUUACACAUUAAUUUUUUGUGUGCAAGAAAAAUCGAAUUGGAAAAGUGGAAAGCCAAUAAAGCCAGAGAGAGAAACGACCUUCGUCACUGGCACGACAUGCACUCAGUGCGCGUUGUGCGAGUUCACCAGGAGCAGUGCGUCAAAUCCUUGACUGAAUGCGAGCAGGAUAAUGUCGAGGACAAAGCAGGUCAAGGCGACAGGCGGAAACAGGUGGAGCGCGAUGGGAACGCCACUUCGACCCCUCCGACGUGCCUUAAAAUGAGCCUAGCUGGCAGACAAUAAAUAAAACCGAAAGCAAACAUCGCUCUCUUGUGCAUUCCACGCCCACUGUUCACCCACGAAUGGUUCUGUUUGUACGCACAAACAUUUCUAGUUUGGAAGAGCAACAACAUAAUAUACACAAAUGUAUAUUUGGCAAAGCAAAUCAACAGUUGUGGCCACUAAAGUAGAAUUCCGAAAUUCAUUAAAGAUUUCAUACCUGAUUUUAUAAGCUUUUAUGUAUUGAAUUAAAUAAUAAGAAUAAAGAUUUAAAAUAUAA